CGGCCAACGUUCGCAUUGAGGAGAAA
rnacentral:piRNA from 1 species